rnacentral:rRNA from 1 species
GAGUAAAUAAACACUGAAAACUGAAAGAAAAAUUGGUUCUCGUCUGAUCAUCGAAGUUCAAGCAGCGUUGGGAGCGAUUAGUACUUAGAUGGGUGACUGCAUGGGAAUACCGUGUGAUUUUGACACC